UAGGAAUCGUUGGCUCUUUCUGGCAGUUAUUUCAGCUUGUUCUUCGUAGAUAAAAGGUAAAAUUUAGGCUUUAACAUAAUUUUAUUUUAUUAAGUUUAUAUUAUUUAGAUCAAAUAUGCCUUGUUACAUCGUUUAGUGCCCCACGCAUCCGGAUUGAGACCCACUAUACGGUUGUCUGAAGUGUGUCGCACUGAGAUCGGUCAGGUUUUUUUUUAUACUGGAUCAUUCCUGAAGAGGAUCCCUCCUUUGAUAUUGAUGGCGAGCCUUCCCACCUGGACCUAAAGAGAGAACCAGAUUUCGUCUAUCCCAUUUGGAGUCAUGCUGCACCCUGCGGUGUGGUAGGAGAGCAACAUACAUCUUCACACACGGUUGUGUGUGAGACCUACAACUGACAUUCUCCAUUAUUAUUGUUUUUUUUAUUUAUUGAUCUUUGGACAAUACUUUUUGGAUUGUUUUAUUUCGGACAUUGUGACGCACAGCUGUGGUGGAAAUUCUCCUGUGAAUGAAGUUGAAUCAAACCAAAUUGGGAUUAAUUUGAUUAAUCUGCUGACUAAUACAAUUUGGAGUGCAGAUUACCAGGGUGCACCCGGAUUAUUUGAAAUUAAGAAUUAGCACUUGGCCAAGUAUUAUUGUUAUUUUUUUUUUUCUUCAUUUUAUUGUGUGUAAUUUUAUUUUCAUAAUUGUGUGUUUUGUGCAACUGUUAAUUGUGUGUUUUCUGUCACUAAAACCAGUUCUUUAAAUACACCCAACUGCCCUUGUGUGUCAUUUAAACACUCCACUGUGCUCCGAUAGCCGAACCUAUUGGCCCAUUUAUCCAAAAUAUAUGUAAUACCCUUCUCUACUGUGUUACACUA